GUGCAGCAGGCGCAAAACUUUACAAUGUGCGAAAGCACGAUAAGGGAACUCUGAGUGCCUCCUAAGGAGGCUGUUCUGAUGUCUAAAAAGCAACAGAAGUAAGGGCUGGGUAAGACCGGUGCCAGCCGCCGCGGUAACACCGGCAGCCCAAGUGGUAGCCACGUUUAUUGGGUCUAAAGCGUUCGUAGCCGGCCAGGUAAGUUCCUUGGUAAAUUUAGCCGCUUAACGGUUAAGCUUUCAGGGAAUACUGCUUGGCUUGGGACUGGGAGAGGUCAGAGGUACUCCGGGGGUAGGGGUGAAAUCUAUUAAUCCCUGGGGGACCACCGGUAGCGAAGGCGUCUGACCAGACCAGGUCCGACGGUGAGGGACGAAGGCUAGGGGCGC
rnacentral:rRNA from 1 species